CAAAUGGGGGAUCUCAGAAGUCUUAAUGAAGUAACUAUCCCUGAACACUGGGAUCAAUACUCAGCAUCCAGCUGUCAAAUCAACACCAAGCCGCCUCCUGGAGCAGAUUGUUAAGCUGAUGCGAGUCUGGGCUCUGCCUCACCACUUGUCUCAGAGACAGAGUCUUGCUCUGUCACCUAGGCUGGAGUGCAGUGGUGCCAUCACAGCUCACUGCAGCCUCGACCUCCCCGUGCUCAAGUGAUCCUCACACCUCAGCCUCCCGAGUAGCCGCGAUCACAAGUUAAACAAACACAGUUCUUUACAUCAAUGCUUCCGUCCCUGGCCAUCUGGUCUCCUGUCCCCUCCAGACCCAAAACCAUGGGCUGGGCUGCAGCAAAAUGAGGGUGUACUCAGUGCACUGAGGCCCAUGUACCAUGAGAGAUGG
rnacentral:lncRNA from 1 species